rnacentral:tRNA from 1 species
GCCGGGGUGGUGAAAUUGGCAAACACGUAAGAUUCAGGAUCUUAUGCCCAUUCGGGCUUGGGGGUUCAAGUCCCCCCCUCGGCA